CAACAACAACAACAACAACAACACGCCUUUGAUCUGCCCAUAGCACAGUCUGACAACAAGCAAAAUGACAAGAGGGCGCACAAUAACGUAUACAACCGAGACCAGACUGCACAUUCCCAUCCUUUAAUGGUUCCUCGAUAUUUUCACGAAUGUUUUCGACAGUCGAUAGAUCUUUUCCAACGGCUGCCCGGUCCUUAACGACAUCUACCCCUGUUCGCGAGAUCUAACUUUAUUUGAAUGAUCUAACCAUAGUUACUCAGAGAGACUUAAUUCUACUCACACGAGUUCUGCACAACAUCAGAUCACUUUUAGAUAACCCACAUUCAAGAAAAUGUACUACCUCUGCAUGAUCUCCACAUUCAAGAACAAGUACUACCCUGUAGGCUGCAUGAUCUAACCAUGCUUAACUUAGAGAGACUUAACUAAACUCACAUUAUCACACAGGAUAAUUAUUUUCAUGCAUUAGCGAGAAAUGGUAUAAAGUAGAGCAUAGAGGUUUAAUAUCAAGAUUGUGUUGUCAUCUCACUCGAUUGAAUAAGGGACAAGUUAUUAUUUAUGGG